rnacentral:rRNA from 1 species
AUUGAACGCUGGCGGCAGGCCUAACACAUGCAAGUCGAGCGGAGCGGCGGACGGGUGAGUAAUGCCUAGGAAUCUGCCUGGUAGUGGGGGAUAACGUCCGGAAACGGGCGCUAAUACCGCAUACUAUCAGAUGAGCCUAGAUCGGAUUAGCUAGGUGGUGGGGUAAAGGCCUACCAAGGCGACGAUCCGUAACUGGUCUGAGAGGAUGAUCAGUCACACGGGAAGUGAGACACGGUCCAGACUCCUACGGGAGGCGGCAGUGGGGAAUAUUGGACAAUGGGCGAAAUCCUGAUCCAGCCAUGCCGCGUGUAUGAAGAAGGCCUUCGGGUUGUAAAGUACGUUCAGCGGGGAGGCGUUACCCGCAGAAGAAGCACCGGCUAACGCCGUGCCAGCAGCCGCGGUAAUAC